rnacentral:misc_RNA from 1 species
GAAACGCGAUAGUUAAUGUGAAUUGCAGAAUUUAGUGAAUCAUCGAGUCUUUGAACGCACAUUGCGCCCGCCAGCACUCUGGCGGGCAUGCCUGUUCGAGCGUCAUUUCAACCCUCAGAACCCCUUGCGGGAUCUGGCGUUGGGGAUUGGCAUCCAGCCAGCCCCGAAAUCUAGUGGCGGUCCCUCCGCGACCUCCCCUGUGCAGUAGCGAUACCUCGCAGCGGGACAGCGGUCUGACCACGCCGUAAAACCCCCAACUUCUCAAGGUUGACCUCGAAUCAGGUAGGAAUACCCGCUGAACUUAAGC